rnacentral:rRNA from 1 species
UACGUAGGUGGCGAGCGUUGUCCGGAUUUACUGGGCGUAAAGGGAGCGUAGGCGGACUUUUAAGUGAGAUGUGAAAUACCCGGGCUCAACUUGGGUGCUGCAUUUCAAACUGGAAGUAUAGAGUGCAGGAGAGGAGAAUGGAAUUCCUAGUGUAGCGGUGAAAUGCGUAGAGAUUAGGAGGAACACCGGUGGCGAAGGCGGCUGUCUGGACAGUAACUGACGCUGAGGCGCGAAAGCGUGGCGAGCAAACAGGAUUAGAUACCCU